GGAGAUAUAGCUCAACUGGGAGAGCAUCCGCUUGACGUGCGGAAGGUCACAGGUUCGAACCCUGUUAUCUCCAGCA
rnacentral:tRNA from 1 species